UGGGGAAUAUUGGACAAUGGACCGAGAGUCUGAUCCAGCAAUUCUGUGUGCACGAUGAAGUUUUUCGGAAUGUAAAGUGCUUUCAGUUGGGAAGAAAAAAUGACGGUACCAACAGAAGAAGUGACGGCUAAAUACGUGCCAGCAGCCGCGGUAAUACGUAUGUCACGAGCGUUAUCCGGAUUUAUUGGGCGUAAAGCGCGUCUAGGUGGUUAUAUAAGUCUGAUGUGAAAAUGCAGGGCUCAACUCUGUAUUGCGUUGGAAACUGUAUAACUAGAGUACUGGAGAGGUAAGCGGAACUACAAGUGUAGAGGUGAAAUUCGUAGAUAUUUGUAGGAAUGCCGAUGGGGAAGCCAGCUUACUGGACAGAUACUGACGCUGAAGCGCGAAAGCGUGGGUAGCAAACAGGAUUAGAUACCCUGGUAGUCCACGCCGUAAACGAUGAUUACUAGGUGUUGGGGGUCGAACCUCAGCGCCCAAGCAAACGCGAUAAGUGAUCCGCCUGGGGAGUACGUACGCAAGUAUG
rnacentral:rRNA from 1 species